rnacentral:rRNA from 1 species
AUACGUAGGUGACAAGCGUUAUCCGGAUUUACUGGGCGUAAAGGGCGUGUAGGCGGUCUUGCAAGUCAGAAGUGAAAUUCCUGAGCUCAACUCGGGCGCUGCUUCUGAAACUGCAGGACUUGAGUGCUGGAGGGGAUAGCGGAAUUCCUAGUGGAGCGGUAAAAUGCGCAGAUAUUAGGAAGAACACCGGUGGCGAAGGCGGCUAUCUGGACAGUAACUGACGCUGAGGCGCGAAAGCGUGGGGAGCAAACAGGAUUAGAUACCCUGGUAGUCCACACUGUAAACGAUGAAUGCUAGGUGUAGGGGGUAUCGACCCCUUCUGUGCCGCAGUCAACACAAUAAGCAUUCCGCCUGGGUAGUACGGCCGCAAGGUUGAAACUCAAAUGAAUUGACGGGG